AUCGUAGAGGCGCUGUAAUUAUUAGUAACUAAUUGUAGCUGGCAAGCGUUAAUAAUUAGAGAAAGGAAUUAUAGCCGAAGAUAUAUCUUGGCAAAGGUAUUUUCUGGGAUUGUAUAGAAUAUAUACAAUACUGUCACUUAUCUUAAGUGUUGAGCUACAA
rnacentral:ncRNA from 1 species